rnacentral:rRNA from 1 species
AUUGAACGCUGGCGGCAUGCUUUACACAUGCCAGUCGAACGGCAGCGCGGGCUUCGGCCUGGCGGCGAGUGGCGAACGGGUGAGUAAUGCAUCGGAACGUGCCCAGUAGUGGGGGAUAGCCCGGCGAAAGCCGGAUUAAUACCGCAUACGACCUGAGGGUGAAAGCGGGGGACCGAAAGGCCUCGCGCUAUUGGAGCGGCCGAUGUCGGAUUAGCUAAUUGGUGGGGUAAAGGCUUACCAAGGCGACGAUCCGUAGCUGGUCUGAGAGGACGACCAGCCACACUGGGACUGAGACACGGCCCAGACUCCUACGGGAGGCGGCAGUGGGGAAUUUUGGACAAUGGGGGCAACCCUGAUCCAGCCAUGCCGCGUGCGAGAAGAAGGCCUUCGGGUUGUAAACCGCUUUUGUUCGGGAAGAAAUCCUCUGGGCUAAUACCCCGGGGGAUGACGGUACCGGAAGAAUAAGCACCGGCUAACUACGUG